rnacentral:misc_RNA from 1 species
GCAGAGUUGACUGUUAUCCAAGUUCUAAAUCAAGGCUUUGAGGUUAGGUGGAUUCUGGAUCAAGUGCAAUGUGGAGAUUGUUUAAGGUCAGGUGGAAGAUGUGGAUAUAAUUGGACUGUGAAUCAAUUCAGUUGCUUCUGCCCUGACCAAGCUUAUUCCAGGACGUGUCCAAGCCCCAUGCCAUCAGGAAGCUUGUUGAAUCCUGGAGAAACUACUUCAGGUAAGUGUGCAUUUGACUCUUGAAUCUAGCUAUCAAGUUGGCUCCUAGGUACUAAUUAUAGGAAGUGA